AGGCGAUGAAGGGCGUACUAGACUGCGAUAAGCUACGGGGAGCUGUCAAGAAGCUUUGAUCCGUAGAUUUCCGAAUGGGGCAACCCAAUAUACAGCAAUGUAUAUUACCUUUAAUGGAGCGAACCUAGCGAAGUGAAACAUCUCAGUAGCUAGAGGAAAAGAAAUCAAACGAGAUUCUCUUAGUAGCGGCGAGCGAACGGGGAAGAGGGCAAACCAGUAGCUUGCUAUUGGGGUUGAGGACUGCAAUAUCCACUUAGAGAAUCUAGCAGAAGUAUUUGGAAAGAUACAUCAUAGAGGGUGAUAAUCCCGUAUGCGAAAGAUUCUCUAUAGGUAGCAGUAUCCAGAGUAAGCCAGGACACGAGAAAUCCGGGCCGAAGCCGGGGAGACCACUCUCCAACCCUAAAUACUACUAUCACACCGAUAGCGCACAAGUACCGUGAGGGAAAGGUGAAAAGAACCGCAGUGAGCGGAGUGAAAUAGAACCUGAAACCAUUUGCCUACAAUCAUUCAGAGCCCUAUGAUUUAUCAGGGUGAUGGACUGCCUUUUGCAUAAUGAUCCUGCGAGUUGUGGUAUCUGGCAAGGUUAAGCAAACGCGAAGCCGUAGCGAAAGCGAGUCUGAAAGGGCGCUUAGUCAGAUGCUGCAGACCCGAAGCGAAGUGAUCUAUCCAUGGCCAAGUUGAAGUAAGUGUAAUAGCUUAUGGAGGACUGAACUCGUACCCAUUGAAACGGGUUGGGAUGAGCUGUGGAUAGGGGUGAAAGGCCAAACAAACUUCGUGAUAGCUGGUUCUCUUCGAAAUAUAUUUAGGUAUAGCCUCAAGUAAUAGUAAUAGGGGGUAGAGCUCUGAUUGGGCUAGGGCUGCUCACCGCGGUACCAACCCCUGUCAAACUUCAAAUACCUAUUACCGUAUCUUGGGAGUCAGGCGGUGGGUGAUAAAAUCAAUCGUCAAAAGGGGAACAACCCAGACUACCAACUAAGGUCCCAAAGUUCUAUUCUAAGUGGAAAUGAUGUGAAGUUACUCAGACAACCAGGAGGUUGGCUUAGAAGCAGCCAUCCUUUAAAGAAAGCGUAACAGCUCACUGGUCUAGUGAUUUUGCGCAGAAAAUAUAACGGGGCUAAGAUAGACACCGAAGUUGUAGAUUAUGCGUUAGCAUAGUGGUAGAAGAGCGUUCGUAUUGCGUUGAAGGUAUAUCGGCAAGAAGUGCUGGAGCGAUGCGAAGUGAGCAUGCAGGAAUGAGUAGCGAUAAAAUAUGUGAGAAUCAUAUUCGCCGAAAGUCUAAGGUUUCCUACGCGAUGCUCGUCAUCGUAGGGUUAGUCGGGUCCUAAGCCAAGUCCGAAAGGGGUAGGCGAUGGAAAAUAGGUUAAUAUUCCUAUACCAAUAGUAGUGUGCGAUGGAAGGACGCAUAGGGUUAGGUGAGCCAACUGAUGGAAGUGUUGGUCUAAGACCGUAGAUUGGGGGAGAGGCAAAUCCGCCCCUGUAUUCGAAACUUGAAAGGCUCUUUGAAGUCUUCGGAUGGAAAGGAGAAUCACUGAUACCGUCGUGCCAAGAAAAGUUUCUAAGUUUAGCUACUAUUGCCCGUACCGCAAACCGACACAGGUAGAUGAGAUGAGUAUUCUAAGGCGCGUGAAAGAACUCUGGUUAAGGAACUCUGCAAACUAGCACCGUAAGUUCGCGAUAAGGUGUGCCGAAAAUCCAGCAAUGGGUUAUUAGGUCUCAGCAAAGAGUCCCUCCCGACUGUUUACCAAAAACACAGCACUUUGCAAACUCGUAAGAGGAAGUAUAAGGUGUGACGCCUGCCCGGUGCUCGAAGGUUAAAAGGAUUAGUUAGCAGUAAUGCGAAGCUUUGAAUUGAAGCCCGAGUAAACGGCGGCCGUAACUAUAACGGUCCUAAGGUAGCGAAAUUCCUUGUCGGUUAAAUACCGACCUGCAUGAAUGGCGUAACGAGAUGGGAGCUGUCUCAACCAGGGAUUCAGUGAAAUUGUAGUGGAGGUGAAAAUUCCUCCUACCCGCGGCAAGACGGAAAGACCCCGUGGACCUUUACUACAGCUUGGCACUGCCGAUGGGAACAUUAUGCGCAGGAUAGGUGGGAGGCUUUGAAAUCUUCACUCUGGUGGAGAUGGAGCCAUCCUUGAGAUACCACCCUUAAUGUUUCUGUCUGCUAACUGGCUAGAGUUAUCCUCUAGCAGGACAAUGUCUGGUGGGUAGUUUGACUGGGGCGGUCGCCUCCUAAAAAGUAACGGAGGCUUGCAAAGGUUGGCUCAUUGCGGUUGGAAAUCGCAAGUAGAGUGUAAUGGCAUAAGCCAGCCUGACUGUAAGACAAACAAGUCGAGCAGAGACGAAAGUCGGUCAUAGUGAUCCGGUGAUUCUGUGUGGAAGGGUCAUCGCUCAAAGGAUAAAAGGUACCCCGGGGAUAACAGGCUGAUCUCCCCCAAGAGCUCACAUCGACGGGGAGGUUUGGCACCUCGAUGUCGGCUCAUCGCAUCCUGGGGCUGGAGCAGGUCCCAAGGGUAUGGCUGUUCGCCAUUUAAAGCGGUACGCGAGCUGGGUUCAGAACGUCGUGAGACAGUUCGGUCCCUAUCUGCCGUGGGCGUAGGAGAGUUGAGGAGAGCUGUCCCUAGUACGAGAGGACCGGGAUGGACAUGCCACUGGUGUAAGAGUUGUUCUGCCAAGAGCAUCGCUCUGUAGCUACGCAUGGAUGUGAUAACCGCUGAARGCAUCUAAG
rnacentral:rRNA from 1 species